GUUUGGCUAAAUACAGUGUUGUUUUUAAUCAAUAUUUUACACAGCUAGACACCAUGCAAAAGUAAUUUUCUUUUGAAAUGGCUUUUGAGGGUAUGCUGUUUUUUCAUGUCAUAUCAUUAUUAAAAGUGCCUGCAAUU
ensembl:snoRNA